UACUGAUCGAAUAAUGAUGAUGAUCUAACUAGAAGCCCAAGCCUGCAAAUUUUCAUGAUUCAUCAAACGGAUCUCCGGCGGGGUUGAACGGCAGCAGUGAUUCGCGUCAGAGUUUCAAGUUUCAACCGAGGUAUAGCGACCGGCUUUCGAUUCUUUGCUUAGAGAUACCGAUUAGUUGAAAUUCCACACGUUUUGAUCUCAUCUCGCGGCUGCGAAUAUCAAGAUGGUGCAUGAAAUAACUGAGCAACAAAGUAGGCAUAAUUUUUCCUUGAAUAAAUUUGAAAUUUCUUGUGUAAAGAUUGUUGAGUGACUUGAUUGAUUCUCUCAUUGAUGUUAGUAGCUAAUAAUUCCACACCAUGGUUUCGUCGCUUGAACCCAAUAAUUUUUCUUGUGUAAAAUUGAAAUAUCUAUCUUGAGUUUGUUUUGUAAAGAUUUUUGACUAAUAGGGUUUAUUCUCACAUCGAUGUUAAUGAUUAUUAGUUCACUUGUAUCGUUGUUAUUCUGCCAAUGCUUCCUUGUUUGAACCUAAUACAUUUUUCGAGAAGACGAACGCACUCUUUCUAGAAACCGAAGAAAUUCAAGCUUUAGAGAAAACACAUACUCGGUAUUUUGUUGAUUUACAUCCACUAACAUGUCUUUUCGGUUUGCUGUAAGGUUUACAAACUGACACUCAGCAUAUUAAAUAAGUUCUCUGUUACAACUGAAGUGUUCAACCUUUGGUUCCAUUUGUUGCAACAAGUUAGAAAGAGUGGUCAACGGGCUAAUUUUAAGCGGUCGGUACUUCUCUAUUUGCUUCGACCUCUUUUCCUCACACCAUGCAAGCCUUAGGCAUUGUAUCAUUUCUUUUAUGAUGAACUUUUCACCUCGGACAUCAUCUUGUUGUUGACUUUAUAAGUGAUAUGACUCAUAUGAGUGCUACGGGGAUCAUGAUAAGAAAGUGUGCUGCUUGGGCCUUACGUCACUACUUGCACUUCCCGAAGAACAAUUGGCUGGGGAGGCUCUUGGGCGCGUGUUCAAGGCCACCCUGGAUCUACUAGUUGCAUAUAAGGAUAAAGUUGCAGCAGCUGCAAAUGAGGAAGAGGCUGAAGAUGAUGAUAUGGAUGGUUUCCAGACUGAUGAUGACGAUGAUGCUAAUGCUUCUGACAAGGAAAUGGGAACCGAUGCAGAGGAUGAGGAUGAAGCUGAUAACAUCAGGCUUCAAAAAUUAGCUGCCCAGGCUAAGGCUUUCCGUCAGAUGAUGACUUUAGUGAUGACAAAGAGCUACAGUCACCCAUUGAUGAAGUAGACCCUUUCGUUUUCUUCGUUGAUACUGUGAAAGUUUUGCAAGCAUCGGAUCCUAUGAGGUUCCAAAACCCUUACACAGACGCUGGAUUUCCAUUGUCAAUCUCUUGCAAACAGUCCUAUCAAAAAAAAAAAUCUCUUGCAAACAGUAUUGCUCUGCAUGCUGAACAGAGGAGAGCAGAGAUUGAAAAGGAGAAAAUGGAGAAGGCAUCAGCCGCCGCUGCUCCAUCGUGAGCUCAGAUUCAGAUUGAAUUUUCUGGUUUGCCCUACGAGUCAUCAGGUCUGUGAAGAGCUCUUCAAGAGAAGUUAACAACAUAUAAACACAAACGGAAAGCAUAAAGUUCAAAAGGACUACUUAACAACUGUUACCAAAUGACAAACAUAAUUGUACUCAGGGCCAAAGCUAGAAAAUUUACACUAAGUUGUCAGAAUUUAGAAAAUUAAUGCAUAAGACUCUUUUAAAGUGGUGCCAAUUUUAUUCUUAAUAUUUUUUA